rnacentral:rRNA from 1 species
GACGAACGCUGGCGGCGUGCUUAACACAUGCAAGUCGAACGGAAAGACCCUGCUUUUGUGGGGUGCUCGAGUGGCGAACGGGUGAGUAACACGUGAGUAACCUGCCCUUUACUUUGGGAUAACUUCAGGAAACUGGGGCUAAUACCGGAUAGGAGCUCCUGCUGCAUGGUGGGGGUUGGAAAGUUUCGGCGGUUGGGGAUGGACUCGCGGCUUAUCAGCUUGUUGGUGGGGUAGUGGCUUACCAAGGCUUUGACGGGUAGCCGGCAUGAGAGGGUGACCGGCCACAUUGGGACUGAGAUACGGCCCAGACUCCUACGGGAGGCAGCAGUGGGGAAUAUUGCACAAUGGGCGGAAGCCUGAUGCAGAAACGCCGCGUGCGGGAUGACGGCCUUCGGGUUGUAAACCGCUUUCGCCUGUGACGAAGCGUGAGUGACGGUAAUGGGUAAAGAAGCACCGGCUAACUACGUG